rfam:Cupriavidus basilensis strain 4G11 chromosome secondary, complete sequence.
CAUCUGCGCCGUCUUAGGGGAGUAGCUAGCCUCCAGUCCCCCUGGAGGAGCCGACGUCAACAUACUUGGUACAAAAAACCAUGGCGCCGGCGGCCUGAUUGGCUCAGCGAGACCUUUGACUUUUCUGUCCACCAGCUGGGGCUGGCACUGGGCAGCGAAGUCAUUGGUUCGUUUGUUGCCGGCCCCCUUU